ACAUGUAGACUUUACUGCUAUGUCACACUACUAUGACAAUAUCAUACCUCUGUGGCUCCGACCCACUCACACUCACACACACUGUUGCUUCCAUGCAUACGCAUGUUGGCCCGGGUCAAUUUGAUAUCAGAGCCAAUUUUUCAUGCCGAAGAGGGGAUCUGACGAUUUUUUGAGCCAUAUAGAGAGCAGACCGGAUAGCAAGCGCAGUAAGACGUUUAGGGUGAUAAG
rnacentral:lncRNA from 1 species